rnacentral:rRNA from 1 species
UAACGAAUAUUCCGCAAUGCGCGAAAGCGUGACGGAGCAAUGCCGCGUGCAGGAUGAAGCCCCUCGGGGUGUAAACUGCUGUCAGGGAUUAGGAACACAAUGACCAACCCCAAAGGAAGGACCGGCUAACUCUGUGCCAGCAGCCGCGGUAAUACAGAGGGUCCAAGCGUUGAUCGGAAUCACUGGGCUUAAAGGGUUCGCAGUCGGCUCGGUAAGUAUGUUGUGAAAUCCCACGGGUCAACCGUGGAAUUGCUACGUAGACUGCCGCGCUUGAGCACGACAGGGGCCAUCAGAACGAUAGGUGGAGCGGUGAAAUGCGUAGAUAUCUAUCGGAAUGCCAAAGGUGAAGACAGAUGGCUGGGUCGUCGCUGACGCUCAGGAACGAAAGCAUGGGUAGCGAACGGGAUUAGAUACCCCGGUAGUCG